rnacentral:lncRNA from 1 species
GUGCUCCUGAAUUGGAGGAAGAUUCUCAGAAUUUUUACAGAAACAAGUGGUCUCACUAAUUAACAACAAAAAGAAUUUUAGCGACAAGAAGCGACAAGAAGAAUAUGUUUUUCUUGUCGUUAAAUAGUCUUCUUGACGCUUCUUGUCGCUUUUUGACGCUUCUUGUCUCUAAUUAGUGAGACCCGAAAAAAGUAAUAAAAUCGUUUCUUUCCCCUGUGUCAUGUAACCCUGGGAACAGUAUAUGUUAAUAUAUAUGUUCCUGUGUAACCCCACGAUCUUUGUUUAUUUUGAAAGUUGUUGACCUACAAAUUAAAGUAUUGCAUGUUGAUGUUUAAAUCAUCUACAGUAAACAAUAUUAUGUUUAGAUUUAACAAAUACAAAUUUGUGAUUAGUGCACGAUCUCUAAGAAUGAUUUAAAUAACCAGUGAACUGGUGAAGGAUAUCCCUGCUUCUUCCACGAAUGACGUCAC